AUGCUUGCUUUGGCAGCACAUAUACUAAAAUUGCAACGAUACAGAGAAGAUAGCAUGGCCCUUGCACAAGGAUAACAAGUUAAAGAAACAUUUAUAAAAUUA
rnacentral:snRNA from 1 species